GACGAACGCUGGCGGCGUGCUUAACACAUGCAAGUCGAACGGAAAGGCCAUGAGUUUGUGGCGUGCUCGAGUGGCGAACGGGUGAGUAACACGUGAGUAAACUGCACUUGACUUUGGGAUAACUUCAGGAAACUCGGGCUAAUACAGGAUAGAAUAUCCUGAUGCGCGGGGGGGGAUGGAAAGAUUCGGCGGUGUGGGAUGGAAUCGCGGCUUAUGAGCUGGUUGGUGGGGUAGUGACGUACGAGGGUUUUGACGGAUAGGCGGCAUGGGAGAGUGACCGGCCACAUUGCGACUGCGAGACGCACCAGACGCCUACGGUAGGCAGCAGGCGAGAGCAUGGCGGAAUGGGGGGACGCCUGAGGUAGCGACGCCGCGUGCGUGAUGACGUCUUACUAGUUGUAAACCGCUUUCGCCUGUGACGUAGAGUGAGUGACGGUAAUUGGUAAAGAAGCACCGGCUAACUACGUG
rnacentral:rRNA from 1 species